rnacentral:rRNA from 1 species
CCCGCUGAACUUAAGCAUAUCAAUAAGCGGAGGAAAAGAAACUAACAAGGAUUCCCCUAGUAACUGCGAGUGAAGCGGGAAAAGCUCAAAUUUAAAAUCUGGUGGUCUUUGGCCAUCCGAGUUGUAAUUUAGAGAAGCGUCUUCCGCGCUGGACCAUGCACAAGUCUCCUGGAAUGGAGCGUCAUAGAGGGUGAGAAUCCCGUCUUUGGCAUGGACACACCAGGGCUUCUGUGAUGCGCUCUCGAAGAGUCGAGUUGUUUGGGAAUGCAGCUCAAAAUGGGUGGUGAACUCCAUCUAAAGCUAAAUAUUGGCGAGAGACCGAUAGCGAACAAGUACCGUGAGGGAAAGAUGAAAAGCACUUUGGAAAGAGAGUGAAACAGUACGUGAAAUUGUUGAAAGGGAAACGCUUGAAGUCAGUCGCGUCGGCCGAGACUCAGCCUUGCCUCGGCUUGGUGUAUUUCUUGGCCCGACGGGUCAGCAUCAAUUUUGCCCCUUGGAUAAUGGCUAGGGAAAUGUGACACCUUUAUAGGUGUGUUAUAGUCUCUCGUCGCAUGCAAGGGUCAGGAUUGGGGAACUCAGCAUGCACCUUCGGGUGUCGGGGCUUUUAUCCACGAUACAUGCUUAGGAUGUUGGCGUAAUGGCUUUAAACGACCCGUCUUGAAACACGG